UUUUGAGUACCUUCGUUUCCUCGGCGGGUUCGCCCGCCGAUUGGACAAUUUAAACCAUUUGCAGUUGCAAUCAGCGUCUGAAAAAACAUAAUAGUUACAACUUUCAACAACGGAUCUCUUGGUUCUGGCAUCGAUGAAGAACGCAGCGAAAUGCGAUAAGUAGUGUGAAUUGCAGAAUUCAGUGAAUCAUCGAAUCUUUGAACGCACAUUGCGCCCCUUGGUAUUCCAUGGGGCAUGCCUGUUCGAGCGUCAUUUGUACCUUCAAGCUCUGCUUGGUGUUGGGUGUUUGUCUCGCCUCUGCGCGUAGACUCGCCUCAAAACAAUUGGCAGCCGGCGUAUUGAUUUCGGAGCGCAGUACAUCUCGCGCUUUGCAUUCAGAACGACGACGUCCAAAAGUACAUUUUUACA
rnacentral:rRNA from 2 species